AUCACUUCUUGGUUCUUUGGCUAAGACCGAAUGUAGUAUCUGUUCUUAUCAUUUUACUAUCUGAUACAACACCUCUCUGGGGCCCAUUUAUUAAAGGGAAUUUUAGAAUAGGGCGAUGGAAGAAAAGCUUUUGCUUUCCACUUCACGCCUUGACGUGUUAUUGCAUUACUUCCAGGACCGGUACACAAUGC